CGUAGGGUGCGAGCGUUAAUCGGAAUUACUGGGCGUAAAGCGUGCGCAGGCGGUUUUGUAAGACAGAUGUGAAAUCCCCGGGCUCAACCUGGGACCUGCAUUUGUGACUGCAAGGCUAGAGUACGGUAGAGGGGGAUGGAAUUCCGCGUGUAGCAGUGAAAUGCGUAGAUAUGCGGAGGAACACCGAUGGCGAAGGCAAUCCCCUGGACCUGUACUGACGCUCAUGCACGAAAGCGUGGGGAGCAAACAGGAUUGGAUACCCUGGUAGUCCACGCCCUAAACGAUGUCAACUGGUUGUUGGGUCUUUACUGACUCAGUAACGAAGCUAACGCGUGAAGUUGACCGCCUGGGGAGUACGGCCGCAAGGUUG
rnacentral:rRNA from 1 species